UUCCGGUUGAUCCCGCCGGACCUGACUGCUAUCGGAUUGAUACUAAGCCAUGCGAGUCAUUGUAGUAAUACAAGGCAGACGGCUCAGUAACGCGUAGUCAACCUACCCUAUGGACGAGGAUAAUCUCGGGAAACUGAGGAUAAUACUCGAUAGAUCAUUAUGCCUGGAACGGUUAAUGGUUAAAACGAUUCGUCGCCAUAGGAUGGGACUGCGGCCUAUCAGCUUGUUGGUGAGGUAAUGGCCCACCAAGGCGAUUACAGGUACGGGCUCUGAGAGGAGAAGCCCGGAGAUGGGUACUGAGACAAGGACCCAGGCCCUAUGGGGCGCAGCAGGCGAGAAAACUUUGCAAUGUGCGAAAGCACGACAAGGUUAAUCCGAGUGAUUUCUGCUAAAGGAAUCUUUUACCAGUUCUAAAAAUACUGGCGAAUAAGGGGUGGGCAAGUUCUGGUGUCAGCCGCCGCGGUAAAACCAGCACCUCAAGUGGUCAGGAGGAUUAUUGGGCCUAAAGCAUCCGUAGCCGGCUCUGUAAGUUUUCGGUUAAAUCUAUAUGCUCAACGUAUAGGCUGCCGAAAAUACUGCACAGCUAGGGAAUGGGAGAGGUAGACGGUACUCGGUAGGAAGGGGUAAAAUCCUUUGAUCUAUCGAUGACCACCUGUGGCGAAGGCGGUCUACCAGAACAUGUUCGACGGUGAGGGAUGAAAGCUGGGGGAGCAAACCGGAUUAGAUACCCGGGUAGUCCCAGCUGUAAACGAUGCAGACUAGAUAAUGCACUGGCACAUAGCCAGUGCAGUGUCUCAGGGAAGCCGUUAAGUCUGCCGCCUGGGAAGUACGUACGCAAGUAUGAAACUUAAAGGAAUUGGCGGGGGAGCACCACAAGGGGUGAAGCCUGCGGUUCAAUUGGAUUCAACGCCGG
rnacentral:rRNA from 1 species